GACGAACGCUGGCGGCGUGCUUAACACAUGCAAGUCGAACGGAAAGGCCCUGCUUGCAGGGUACUCGAGUGGCGAACGGGUGAGUAACACGUGGGUGAUCUGCCCUGCACUUCGGGAUAAGCCUGGGAAUCUGGGUCUAAUACCGGAUAGGAGCCAUUUUUAGUGUGAUGGUUGGAAAGUUUUUUCGGUGUAGGAUGAGCUCGCGGCCUAUCAGCUUGUUGGUGGGGUAAUGGCCUACCAAGGCGGCGACGGGUAGCCGGCCUGAGAGGGUGGACGGCCACAUUGGGAGUGAGAGAGGCCCCAGUCUCCUAGGGGGGGCAGAGGGGGGAAAUAUUGCAAAAUGGGGCCAAGCCGGAGAAGGCGGCCCCGGGGGGGGGAAGACGGCUUUGGGGGUGAAAACUCCUUUCGCGUGGGACAAAGUUUUUUUGAAGGGAACCGAAAAAAAAACCCCCGCUAAAUUCGUG
rnacentral:rRNA from 1 species